UUCAAGUGCUGGAAUAUUGCAGUUAACAAAAUAUAUGAAAUUCCUGGCAGAGUUCAAUGAAUGCAAGUAGUUCAUCUGAUCUUAGUACACAUUCUUCAUGUGUGUUAGGUAAAGCAAAUGGAAUCUCUGCUAUAUGUACUGGAAAAUGUUGAUAGGUUGCUUUUUUCGGUUAUAUUGAUUUUUCAGAGCAGAACUUUUUAUGAAAGAAAGCAAAACAAAAAGCCAACAGAUCCUCUCUAGAAACUCUUUGGCUGUGUACACCAGUCAAUGACACUUAGCCCUAUUAAUGUGAAUAUGGAUAUAACCACCCAGGGAACCUCUCUUUAAGGAAGCAUUGCAAGACUGGCUGAAGACUGUCUCAGCUUAAACCAGUUAGAUCUUGUGAUCAACAGAAAAACUGCUCCAAGAGGAUGUUACCAUAACUGGGAGUUAAAGCAGAAUGCCAUCGCCAUGACCAGACCUCUGAUCCUUAAUUCAGUCACUGGAUAUUGGGAACAAGUAGCUGACUGCAAGCCUGCCAUUCAGUGGAGAAAAAUUUUCAGCAGGCAAAGAUGAAGACCAUUCCUGAACUGCCCUGUGACUGCUGUAGAACUUAUACAGCAACUGCUUGCCUUGAUCUGCAGCUCCAGAGAUGAUUUUUUGAGGAAAAAAAUGAGACAGGAAUGAGCUCCUGAACUCAUCACCUUCAUGCAUGCAGAGUAAAGUCUCAAGCUGGCAUUGCUGCUAAUUCACCCAGGCACCAGAGCACCCUUGGUUCCUGGAUGGGGGUAAGAGCAGAUAACAUCAGUGUAGCACUGCUGCUGCAAAAUCAGGCUAAGCCAUACGCCUGUGGCAUCUGUCUGCUGAGCAUUAGGUAAGGGAGUGAAAAUGUACAAUAUUUCCCACAGAUUCUGACAGUAUCCUGAACAGGGACUGGCUCCGAGCAUUAAGGUGAAAUCCAGUCAUUCUAAGAAUAUCCUAUAUCUCCAAAAAACACUUUUCUCUGGGGAAAAAAAAAAAAAAGAACAUUAAAGGUUCUGACAGAUGUAUAGCACAAAGGACCUUUAGGUUUGAUGAUCAAGGACAUACAUGUGGAAGCCAUUAUAGUCAUCCUGCAGCUUUGGAUGGUUCAGAAAUACCAAGUAUGUUCCCCUGUACAUCCAUUCUGAAAAGCAAGCGGAUCUGAGCUGCAAAGAGUCAGCAUGUGGGACUGAUGCGGGCUCCACAGAUCUGUGCCUAGAUCCGUGUUCCAAACUGCAAGAAUUAUACUGGGUUUGGAUUCCAGAAAUAAGACUCUUGCAAGGGAAACGUGAGCCAUUCUAUUCAGCACAGUUUGUAAAAGUAGCAGCCAUCUGUUGGGCUUUAGAGAAGGCUGAGAAACACAGGAUGUUUACUUUUAUUGAGAUGUGCAGUGGAUGUGCCUCAUAUGAGCAGACGUGUCACACUACUAAUAGGACAACUGGGACAUGAAGCUCCAGAGAAAAAUGCGUUAAAUGUAGCAUUUGUGUAAAUUGGACUGAAAGCCUUAAAAAUAUACCUGCGUGCACCUAAAUACACAAUCACUUAAGUGAACAGUCGCAGAAAACAGCUCGGACAAAAACAUGAAACAAAUGCAGUGCUGACUUGGAGACAAAAUUGACUGUUUUCCUGGGUGCUUUAUGGAAAUCAUUCCAAAAGAAAGGAUUAAGGAAAGAUGGAAAUCUUCCAGACCGAAACAGAAAAAAGAUGACAACCUGGAAGAAGAUGGGAAAGCAACUCUGUAAACUCUGCUGGCCAUGUGUUAAAGAAGAGGAAAGAUCCUUCUUGUUCACCAAAAACCUUGCAUUUUUCUUUAAUUAUUACCAUACAAGUAUCACUUGAUAUAAAACACACGAUUAAAGUGCUUUACGCAGUCAGAAUGGAUGAACAGAUGAAGCAGUUUUCAGAGAAACCAAACUAUCCAAAUGCAUUCUUUACCCCAUCGUGCAGUUAUAGUGAAGAACUGAUUCUACAGCUAUUUCACAAUGACAGAAUGAAAAGUAAAAACCUGCAGGCAGGACAUCAAACUGGGAUAGUGGCCUUCAGUUUUAUCCCUUCUACAGCAGAGACUUCAAUAAAUAACCAUAUCAGGCACUCCAGUUUUAGAUUUUUAACAUUGACGGAUUUAAUUUAGUAAUGGGAAGACUUAAACACAACCAUUUAAAAUGACAUGCUCAACUUCAUCUAAGAAGCCUGUCCAGCCAUCACUCUCUGCAGAACUUCCCUUUUACAGUUUGACAUCAGUGACCUUAUGAGCUGCCAAUGCACUGUUUAGUCCAGAAGGAAACAAGUGCAGGGGGCAGUGAAUAAAUCAGAGUACUUCAGAAUUAGGCUGAUAAACAAAAGUAAGAGAAUUAAGUACAAGUAAGAAAGCAAACUAUGUGCAUCUGCAGGUUUGGUUCCUCAUUUAUCAGAGCAAUGGGAAGUUACCAUUUUUGCAAAAAUUUAUCUAACACUGAUGUAGACAACAAACUGACUUAAAUUAUUUGUUACAGAGUACGUUUUGCAUUUAGAUUAUGUUAGCUAAGUUGCUGUAAGUGAACUUAAAAUUUUAAUUGUGUAUAAAUAAUUCUGUAACCAUAACACAGUUCUAACCCAGGAAUGCAGCUGACUUACAAAAAUGACAGGUUUUCCUAUUUUCUAAUUCUGUGGAAUUUUGUUUUAAAAGAUGUCUUGACUGCUUGAUUGUCCAUCUAUCCAGCAAUAAAAGAGAAA